GAGUAGUAAAAGCUAAGAUCUUGAAACUCAAAAAAUUUGGCGGUAUUUUAUCUUAUUAGAGGAACCUGUUUAUUAAUUGAUAUUCCACAACUUAAAUUUACUUUUACUAUAUUAUUUGUAUACCGCUGUCAUGAAUCUAUUUAGAAAUUAUUUUCAAAAUUUUUUAUGUAAGUUAUGUUAGGUCAAGGUGCAGUAUGUAAUGUAUAAAAUGGGUUACAUUAUUUAUUAUGAAUGAAUUGAUUUAGUAAAAAAUAUCAGAAAUGGGAUUUAUAAGUAAAAAAAUUGUUAAAGAUUUUAUAUGAAUAAAGAUUCUAAAAUAUG
rnacentral:rRNA from 1 species